rnacentral:rRNA from 1 species
GAUGAACGCUAGCUACAGGCUUAACACAUGCAAGUCGCAGGGUAACAUGAGGAAAGCUUGCUUUCCUUGAUGACGACUGGCGCACGGGUGAGUAACGCGUAUCCAACCUUCCCAUAACUACGGGAUAACCCGUUGAAAGACAGCCUAAUACCGUAUGAUAUCGUUUGCUGACAUCAAAUAACGAUUAAAGGUUUAGCGGUUAUGGAUGGGGAUGCGUCUGAUUAGCUUGUUGGCGGGGUAACGGCCCACCAAGGCGACGAUCAGUAGGGGUUCUGAGAGGAAGGUCCCCCACAUUGGAACUGAGACACGGUCCAAACUCCUACGGGAGGCAGCAGUGAGGAAUAUUGGUCAAUGGGCGAGAGCCUGAACCAGCCAAGUAGCGUGCAGGAUGACGGCCCUAUGGGUUGUAAACUGCUUUUAUGUGGGGAUAAAGUGCGUGACGUGUCAUGCAUUGCAGGUACCACAUGAAUAAGGACCGGCUAAUUCCGUG